rnacentral:sRNA from 1 species
CUUCUUCAAUCUGCUGUGGACAGAUAAAGUGAAUAUGUGAAUCAAUGCCACCUGCGGUCAAUAUCGAGCCUUCACCUGCCAGCACUUCAGUGCCGGGACCGAUCACUAUGGUGACGCCGGGUUGAAUAUCUGGGUUGCCCGCCUUACCAAUCGCCAUAAUGCGACCGUCUUUGACGGCGACAUCCGCUUUGACGAUUCCCCAGUAAUCAAGCACAACGGCGUUGGUGAUCACCAAAUCGGGGGUUUCGCUGCUAGGUCGUUGGCUCUGACCCAUACCAUCACG